UAAUCGGAACCUUUCUGAUUUUUAUAUUCACGAAAGAAUGAAAAAACCCGAGAAAGUCAAAACUUCGUAUAUCUCGGGAUUUUAACGAGACCAGUCUCAUACUCGUGAAAAUCGAGAGAGGAGUUCAAAUGGAAAAAGUAAGUAAAAGUUUUUGUUUCUUAUAUUGGCAAGCUUUUAAAUUAUUUAAAGUUGCAGAACAAUUGUUUAUUAAUGUGAAGUCGAAGUUUGGGGUGAUUAGCCUUAUCUCGUUAAAUUUUGUUCAGCAUGAAACAGUCUGACCAGCAAUCCUCGAUUUUGUCAACAAUCUAAAACGUGCUAAGGAGUAGUCAUUCGUCGAUUUACCUGCGGUUUCCAGAUGAUCUGAAGAUCGGGAUUAUAGAAAAUAUUGUCAAUUUGAUAUUGCUAAUGACCCAGUCAUGUCUGCUGAAGCCCAGAAGUUUCCAGACCAUGACAUUAAUGAAUAUUUCUUGAAUGGAAUGCAUGAGGAUUAGAAUGGAACCUUAUUCUGCCUUUUUACCAACUCACACCAUCUUUUCAAGAUUUAUGGAGCCAACCACAGAAGAAUUUGUUCUAUACACAUCAUUCAUAACAUUCUUAUUUAUGUUGCAUAACUUUAAAUGCUACUGGAUGAAUUGUGUUCACAUAAUGAAUACCAGCAAACUUUUUAUCGAGUGCACUUAAUUUGUAUUUUUCCUACCCAUCCAUCUAACAUAUGUUUUUAUAUAACAUAUUCAUAUACAUGUAACAUUUUUGAAAAGAGCUAUUUUUUUUUAAAUUGGAAUUUAGCCUUACCG